rnacentral:rRNA from 1 species
GACGAACGCUGGCGGCGUGCCUAAUACAUGCAAGUAGAACGCUGAAGAGAGGAGCUUGCUCUUCUUGGAUGAGUUGCGAACGGGUGAGUAACGCGUAGGUAACCUGCCUUGUAGCGGGGAAUAACUAUUGGAAACGAUAGCUAAUACCGCAUAACAAUGGAUGACACAUGUCAUUUAUUUGAAAGGGGCAAUUGCUCCACUACAAGAUGGACCUGCGUUGUAUUAGCUAGUAGGUGAGGUAAUGGCUCACCUAGGCGACGAUACAUAGCCGACCUGAGAGGGUGAUCAGCCACACUGGGACGGAGACACGGCCCAGACUCCCACGGGAGGCAGCAGUAGGGAAUCUUCGGCAAUAGGGGCAACCCUGACCGAGCAACGCCGCGUGAGUGAAGAAGGGUUUCGGAUCGUAAAGCUCUGUUGUAAGUCAAGAACGGGUGUGAGAGUGGAAAGUUCACACUGUGACGGUAGCUGACCAGAAAGGGACGGCUAACUACGUG